CCCGUGGGAGGACGGCGUGUGGCCUGCGUGGCUGCAAACCGUUUCUUUUUUCACUCCGGACAUCUUGCUUCCCGGAAUAGACGCCUUUGUUUCAGUGAUUCCCAUCCCGGGCGACAGACCCAAGUUACUGUGUUUGAAUCGGCACCGAGCUCCCCGGGGCGGGGUCUCCCCGUGGCUUUCUGUCCGGCCUCCUGCGUCCGCGUCUCCCUCUCUGCCCGCUCGGUGCCCGUUGGUACAAAAUGGGCAGCUCCCACAGGUUACUGUGUCUUUAAGCGACCGGACUGGCCUUUUCCAUACCCAUGUGGCCUUCCCAGAUGUCGGUAUCGGUACGGGCUGGAUUCUAGUGGUGGCGUUGGGAGCGGCCGGUGGUGGUCAUUUGGCAAAGGCCUGGUCUGUACUUCAGGGUACAGAGAAGAUUCCAUAUGGCCAUGACUUCGAGUGAACUUGAGGGUUGGUGGGAGGAAUCGCUAAAGCUUGAGGGGAGAGGGGAGCUGGGCCUCAGGUGACCGAUUCAUUGAUGUGUCAAACAAUCGGAGGCUCGCGGUGCUUGGGGUGGGACCCUGGCCUACCGGCCUCCACUGAGCUUUCCGGGACGACGGCAGAGCAGCAGUCUCCGGGGAGGGGAUCUGCCCUCUCUCUCUCUCUCUCUCUCUCUCUCUCUCUCUCUCUCUCUCUCCCCCCCCCCCCCCCGCCCCCCAAAAGUUUCUGUUUCACUUGACGCUAGAACUUGCAGGUCAGUAUUUUGCCAGUCAUAGCCCUAGAGGGCUUCCCAUGUACUUUCACCUCAUGUUUCAGAAUUACUGUGAUUCUGAAGAUGGACCUUUUUUUUUUUUUUUUUUUUUUAAUCGGUUCCCCGUUGAGGAAAAGAAAAGGGAAGGCUCUAGGAAAGUCCCUGUUGACCCUGGUGGGAACGGUUAGUGGCAUUCACACCAAUUGUGUGGAAUGGAUUGUAUGCGAAUCCCGCCCCCAGUAAAUACCUUAAAGGACACCUGGUUGCCUCUGUCCCUUGAAGGCCCGCACUCGGUCUUGGGACAGUGCAGUGAAACUCCUUUUUGGUUUUUUGUGGGUUGUUUUUUUUUAAAUUUUUAUCUUUUUGAGUGUAACUAGAUUUAUGUUUAGACGAUUUUUAAAAGUAACUGCAGUCUUUGAACUCUGGAAAUUAUCAAGCUUAAGCUGAUUUCAUACAAUUUAUAGCAUUAUUGAAGUUGAUUUGUAUCUUAUGACAUAUAUUUCAGCUACUUAAUUCAUUCUCAUAAGUUGUAUUGACAUUGAAUUGAGCAAGUGAUCAUUUAAAAUAGAUUUUUAUUUAGUUCCCCUUUUUAUGGAGGGGGAGUGACAGCCUAAUAAUUGUUUCCUGAGUAUUUUACUGUUCUCUUGACCUCUCAUAAAUUUAGUGAAACUUAGAACUUGUGUCUGCCUGUGGGUUAGCACUCCUACCACUAAGAUUACUUUUAAUAUUCCACUUGAGUUGUAGCUGGGUGAGUUAGGUGAUUAGAUAGUCAAGCAAACAUUUAUCGAGUCCGUAAUGCUGGGCACUGUGGUAGGCACUGCUGAUAAGUGAUGAUAAGAGACCCCUCUGGGGGCCGUCUAGUGAGGACAGCCACAUUGGAGUGUGCAAAGUGCUACAUUAGGGGUAAGCAUAGAAAGGAGGGGUGACUAGCCUCAAUUGUGGAAAGUCUGUGUUGGCAUGCAUGGAGAUGAUGUUAAAACAGCCCCUCCUGGCUGGGACACUCAGUUGGUUAGAGCGUCAUCCCCAUAUGCCAAGGUUUGAUCCCCGGGCAGGACACAUGCAAGAGACAACCAGUGAAUGCAUAAAUGGGUGGAACAACAAAUCAAUGUCUGUCUCUGUCUAUCUCUCAAUUCCUCGUUUUCUCUAAAAUAAAAUAAAGCCUGAAUGACAGAUAGGAAUUGGACUAGAGGGGUGGGAUAGAGCCUUUCUGGGAAAGGGAUCCGUAGAAGAAACCUGUAGUAAGAUCAGGGAUUUAAUUCAUGUGAUCAACUUUAACCUGCCAUUGAAAAGGGUGGGGUGGAAAGCAGGAAACAAAGCAUUAACUCCAUCUACUCCACUCUUUUUUGUAAUGGGUGCACACUCCACUAAAACAUAAUCCUGUAAGAUAAUGACAUAAUGUUUUUGUGUAGUCCUUUUACGUGGGAAAAUAUGUGAUGGUUUUGGAUAAAGCCUGCUGGGUUGGAAUUGUUUGGCAGGUUAAUGGGACUUUGGCACUUUGGCAAGUUACUUAAUAUCUCUGUUUCAGUUUCUUCUUUAGUGUUAAUGAUAGUAUCUACCGCAUAGGAUAGUUAUGAGGAUUUUAUGGGUCAAUGUGAGUAAAGCGCCUAGCACGGUGCCAGGCACACUAAGGGCACAGUACAUAUUAGCUAUAUAUAGAAUAUGUGACCCUUCUGCUGCUCAAGGGUGGCAGAACAAAUUACUUUAUGGAUUGAAUGUCCUACACAAGUGGCCACCCUCAUAUUUGCGAGUGCUCUGCUAAACAAUUUCACUUUAGAUUCUGAGACUUCUGCAUUUUGAUAUAAAAAUGUUUGAUAUGUUUGAUUAUUUUUAUAUGGUUUGUUGAACAGUAUAAGUUGAGAAAUGAAUAAAUAAAUAUAAAAUUCUGAGUACAGUUCUAACAUGUAUUAGCUCUGUGUGCAGGUUUAGAAGUCUAUAUUGUCUUAAUCUAGUGCUGUCCAAAAGAAAAAAAAAUGUGAGCUACAAAGAUAUUAUUUUUUAGUAGCCACAUUAAAAAAGUAAAAGAUGCUCUGGCUGGUGGUUAGAGCUCGGGUUCGGUCUCUGUUCCCAGUCAAGGGCACACACCUGGGUUGCAGGUUCAAGCCUUUGGAGAGUGAAGCAUGUGGGAGUCAACCAGUUGAUUUGUCUCUCUCAUAUAGAUGUUUCUCCCUCUCCCUCCGUUACUCCCUCACUCCCUCAUUCCCUCCUUCCCACCUUCCCACCCCCCCAUCCUUCCCUUCCACUUUCUCUAAAAAUCAAUGGAAAAAAUAUUCUCAGGUGAAGAUUAACCAAAAAAAAAGUAAAAAGAAGAAUUUAAUAAUAUAUUUUUGCUUACUUUAUUCAAAAUGUUUUAUUAUGUAAUUAAUAUUAAAAAGUUUUGCGAUAUUUUACAUUCUUUUUCUCCAGUGUGUAUGUUAUACUUACAGCUCAUUUUUUAAAAAAUAUAUUUUUAUUGAUUUCAGAGAGGAAGGGAGAGGGUAGGAUAGAUAGAAACAUCAAUGAUGAGAGGGAAUCAUUGAUCAGCUGCCUCCUGCAUGCCCCCUACUAGGGAUAGAGCCCGCAACCCGGGCAUAUGCCCUUGACCGGAAUUGAACCCGGGACCCUUCAGUCCGCAGGCCGAUGCUCUAUCCACUGAGCAAAACCAGCUAGGGCACUUACAGCUCAUUUUAAUUUAGGCACAUUUUAAGUGUGGCAGUUGGCUACCAUAUUGGACAGUGCAUGUCUAUAUAGUUUGUCUAAACUAGCCAUUUGUCUAAUGUGCAGAUAACUAGAAAUCCUUUGAAUAUACACUACUUUUAGGACAUUUAAAAUUUUAUCAGUUGACUAGGAGUUUUUUUCUGUUUCAUUUUGCUUUUUUAAAAAAAAAUCUAAAAUAUUCUCUAAUUAUAAAUGAUAGUGAAAUUUGAGUUGUCACCUGAUAGUGAAAACCUCCUGAGGUUGGAAUAGAAGUUGUUAUCUUGCAGGUUCAGAGGGGCCAAACUGUCGAUAUAAAGAAAGCCACCAUUUUUUCAGGCACAGCCAUUUCAGUUACUUAUUGGUUAUUGAUUCUUGGAAGAAAUAAUUUUUAUAGGCUUAUGGUGCUUGCUUCCAGUGCUCACAAAGACUACUGUAUUUAAAUUUUUCUGUAUACUUUCAGUUUCCACACAUCUAUAUGAGAAAUUACGUAUGAUGCUCAUAAAAUUUAUUGCAGAUGAUUGCAAAAAAUAAAAUUACUGGUAUGUUCCAUACUCACUAAUUUCAAACUGAAUAGAAGGACAGUAGAAACUCCACAAGGGCAGAGAUCUUUGUCUUCUUUUUUUGCUGAUAGAUGUUAAGCACCUAGAAGAGUCCUUGCAUUUCAUGGGUUCGUGAUAAAUAAUUAUUGAAAACAGGCAGACAGGUAGUACAAGCAGGAUUCUCUAAUACAGAAUUGGGGCUCGUUUUAUUUUAAUAUUUUCCUGUCUACCUACUUCCUGAGUAUUAUAUAUGUGAUGUAGAUUGGGAUCAGAUUUUACUUAAGAAUAUCAGCUGUUUGGCUAAUAGAGUAAUUUUAGGGUAAAACUGGUCUUGGAAAUUCAAAGAUUGAGAAGUAUUUGCUAAACAGAGUUACUGGUUUUGAAUGAGCAGAUUUCAGUGGUUGAUCUGACCAUAACCCUCUUGGCAGUAAAGCUCAGGAAAGCAUUACCCUAUAGUGAUAAUGGCAAUUACAUAGACUAUGUAGAAAUUUUUGGUGGGCUGUUUUACUGAAUGUAUACCUUUUGGUAUUGUUAAUCCUCCCACCUCUAGAUUAUUAUUACUUUUUUAAAAUGUAUAUAUUUUUAUUGAUUUCAGAGAGGAAGGGAGAGAGAGAAAGUGAUAGAAAAGAGACAUCAAUGAUGACAGAAUCAUUGAUAGGCUGCCUCCUGUAUGCCCCCUACUAGGGAUGGAGCCUGCAAUCCAGGCAUGUGCCCUGACCAGGAAUCAAACCGUGACCUCCUAUUUCAUAGGUCAACACUCAACCACUGAGCUGUACUAGCCAAGCUAUUAUUACUUUUUCCAUAGGGUAUACUUUUCAUGGGAAAUGGAGUCUCUGGGCUUUGUAUAAGAAAUUAAAUUGGUAAAGCCUCUUGUUCCUAGGAAAGGUAUAAUGAACGCAUCCUUUUUGUUGUCUUUCUGGGUGUUUUUCUGGCUUUAGAAGAGUAGGAUGGUUUCACUAAUCUGCAUUUAAGAACUGGUUGGUUAAAUUGAACUGAGCCCAUUUUAUAUGGAGAAGCUACUUUUUAGAGAAAUGAGUAAAACCUUUGUCAUAUUAAACAUGUCUGUGCUUUGCUGUGAUACUCAGGCAACAAGUGGCUCAUGCUGCAGGAAUGCCAGAGUGCCUAAGGAAUUUCUUUCAUUCAAACACAUAUUUUUAGGAUUGAUUAAAAACUAUUCAGACAUUUUCCCAAAGAAGAUAUACAGAUGACCAAGAAGCACAUGAAAAGAUGUUCUACAUCAGUAAUCAUUAGAGAAAUGUAAGUCAGUACCACUAUGAGAUGUCAUUUCACACCAAUUAGGACUUAUAAAAAAUGAAUUUCCUCAUACAAUUACCUGCUCAAGUGCUUGCUUUCCGUUCUUUUGGGGGUAUAUACCUAGAAAUGGAAUUGCUGGAUCAUAUUAUAGUUAUAUUUUUAAUUUUUUGAGAAACCACCAUAUUGUUUUCCAUCGUGGCUGCACUGUUGUACAUUCCCAUUAGUCCUGCACCCACGUUUCAAUAUCUUCAUGUCAUCAUCAACAUUUGUUAUUAUCUGUUGAGCAGCAUUAUUCAUAGUAGCCAAAAUGUAGAAAUAAUUCAAAUGUCCAAGGGAUUAAUGGGUACACAAAAUGUAGUUUAUACAUAAGGUGGAAUAUUAUUCAGCCUAAAAAAAAAAGAAAAGAAAAAGAAAUGAAA